UCCUACGGGACGCAGCAGUAGGGAAUAUUGCUCAAUGGGGGAAACCCUGAAGCAGCAACGCCGCGUGGAGGAUGAAGGUUUUCGGAUUGUAAACUCCUUUUGUUAGAGAAGAUAAUGACGGUAUCUAACGAAUAAGCACCGGCUAACUCCGUGCCAGCAGCCGCGGUAAUACGGAGGGUGCGAGCGUUAAUCGGAAUUACUGGGCGUAAAGCGCACGUAGGCUGUAUGACAAGUCAAGGGUGAAAUGCCACGGCUCAACCGUGGAACUGCCUUUGAAACUGUCAAACUGGAGUAUGUGAGAGGGC
rnacentral:rRNA from 1 species